GAAAGGAUUGAAUUUUAGGAUGGUCAUGGCGGGAAGAUCGAGGAACAGCAAAUCCAGAUUGCCAUUGAUCCAUUACGAUCGCCGUUGAAGACAAAAGAACAGAGCUCAAAAUAAAGAAAAUGGCGGCACAAACAUUCAAAAUGAUCAAGAAUACAUAUACGCAAACAUUUCAAAUCUCAAUCCCACUCGUUCUACUCCGGCGGAGCUCACCAGUCCGAGAGUCGAUACCAAGCGAAUUCAAAGUUCGGGAGGAAGAAUCACAAUCAUUUGGCUGAAAUCCGAAGCAAACGAGCAUUGUGAAUUCAAUUCAAUUAUUACAGAUGCAGGAGAUAAAUUGUAUUUUCGGUGGAAUGAGCCAGCAUGAGAGCAAAGGCCUGGAGGAAUGAGCAAAUUUUACGCCUCAAGAGUAAAUUUAGCAAGAUGAUAAACUGUAUUCGUUCAGGGGAUCAAUUAAAAGUGGAUGAAAUGAUGCAUUCAUCAGAUUCUCUGGCAACUCGAGACUAUUCAGCCAGUGGUUUUUCAUCACGUACUGGGGAGGUGGAACCGAAGGUGGAUAAUGCCAACAUUGAAGAAGCUGAAUCAUCUCUUCGUGAGAGUGGUUAUCUGAAUUAUGAGGAAGCACGCGCUUUACUUGGAAGGCUCGAGUACCAAAAGGGUAACAUAGAAGCUGCUCUUCAUGUUUUUGAAGGAAUAGACAUUGUUGCUGUAAUUUCCAGGAUAAAAGCUUCCAUUUCAACGAGAUAUGAACAAAAUAGACGGCAAUCACAAAGUGAUGUUGUGCCUACUAUGUCUAUGCAUGCCAUUAGUUUACUUCUUGAAGCUAUUUUUCUGAAAGCAAAAUCAUUACAGGGUUUAGGAAGGUUUGUAGAGGCAGCAAAAGCUUGCAAACUACUUUUAGACACCGUUGAAUCUGCAUUACCAGAAGGCUUACCUGAAAAUUUCGCUAGUGAUUGUAAAUUGCAAGGGACGCUAACAAAGGCUGUUGAAUUGCUUCCAGAAUUGUGGAAAUCUGCCGGGUCUCCAGAAGAAUCCAUCUUGUCAUACAGGCGUGCCCUUAUUUACCAAUGGAAUCUAGAAAUGGAAACUAGAGCAAAGAUAGAAAAAGAAUUUGCAAUUUUCCUUCUAUAUAGUGGUUGUGAUGCGAGUCCUCCCAAUCUCCGUUUGCAGAUGGAAAGCUCAUUUGUGCCAAGAAAUAAUAUGGAAGAGGCCAUUCUUCUGUUAAUGGAUCUGUUGGGAAAGUAUAUACAUGGAUUGGUUGUAUGGGACCCAUCAAUAACAGAGCAUCUCUCGUUUGCACUGUCUAUUGUUGGGGAAUUUGGAGCUCUAGCUAAUGAGGUUGAACAAUUGCCUCCAGGAACUAUAGGAAGGAAAGAGAAGUACUGGACACUAGCUCUUUGUUACUACGGGGAAGGUAAAAGCUUAGUUGCGUUGAACCUUUUGAAGAACUUCUUGAAUAACAAAGAUAAUGUAGACUGCUUACUGGAAUUGUUGUUAGCUUCAAAGCUCUGUGGAGAGAAUUUGGUUUGUCUCGAUGAGGGGGUGACUUACAUAUUGAGAGUGCUUUCGGAAUUGGGUGGUAGAUGCAUCCAGAUGGUUUCUAUUGCUAAUUGCUUACAUGGUGUAUUACUGUCAGCCAUAUCCAAAUCAAUUGCUUCUGAUUCUCUUAAAACUUUGAAGCAAUCUGAGGCACUCAAGGCACUACAAACCGCCGAGCAACUGAUGAAACAAAGGGAUCCAUUCAUUGUGUAUCAUCUUUGUCUUGAAUAUGCUGAACAGAGGAAGCUGGAUAAUGCUCUAUACUACGCAAAACAGCUAGUGAAACUCGAGGCUGGGUCUAGUGUGAAGUCCUACAUCCUCUUGGCCAGAAUAUUGUCUUCCCAGAAACGGUUUGGGGAUGCAGAGACUGUAAUCAACGCUGCUCUUGAGCAGACAGGGAAGUGGGAACAGGGCGAACUCUUACGAACUAAAGCUAAGCUCCAGAUUGCACAGGGCCAGUUAAAGAGCAGUAUAGAAACAUAUACUCAUCUUCUUGCUAUAAUUCGAGUCCGGACUAAAAGUAGUGGAGUUGGAAAGAUGCUUUCAAAGGAUGUGAGAACAUCUGACAGAAGUCUGGAAAUAGAAACAUGGAAUGAUUUGGCCAAUAUUUACACAAGCUUGUCUCAGUGGCGGGAUGCUGAGAUCUGCCUAUCAAAAUUGCAGGCAAUCAAUCCAUAUUCUGCUUCUAAAUGGUAUUCCACAGGUUUACUGUAUGAGUCUAAGGGUCUCCCACGAGAUGCUUUGCAAGCAUACAACAAAGGAUUAGACAUCGAUCCUAACCAUGUUCCCAGCAUGAUAUCAACUGCCCGUCUUCUCCAACAACUGGGCGGCAGGCAGUCAUUUCCUGUGGUAAGAAGCUUGCUAACCGACGCCCUUCGACUUGAUCGAGAAAACCCAUCUGCAUGGUACAAUCUCGGGUUGCUAUACAAAGCUGAUGUCGGGGCAUCCGUGCUGGAGGCUGCCGAAUGUUUUGAGGCUGCAACUCUGCUUGAAGAGUCAGCUCCAGUUGAACCUUUCAGAUGAUGAAAACUUGCCUUCUUUCUCGUAGAGAAGUUGGAUUUUGCUGUCUUAGUUCUACAGCACACAACAGUUGAGCUCCUUCUCAACGGCAAGGGCAAGGUGCAGAAAACUUUUGAGCAACGGGUUGAAGCGCAGACGGAUAUGGGAGUGGUUGGAAGAGAUUUUGAUGCCAUCAAUUCAGAAGUGAGAAACCCAAGCUCGGAAUUGGGUUUAGUUCUGAAGUGAAGUUUCGUUGACGAUGCUGCCAUGACGCCGGAAGUAUUCGCCGGCGAUAGUCCUAACAUGGUUUGGAGUUUGGACUACGAGCUGGAAGCCUCGAGUUUUGCUCGAGGAGGUGAAGGGGAUAAGCUCUUUUAUUGUUCGGCUGGACUACGAUGUUUGGGCCAUGGUCAAGUGAAAACCCAUAGAACUAAAGCUUUUUAAUGCUGGCUGGACUACAUGGUUUGGACCAUGGUCAAGUUAAAGCCCAUAAAACUCAAGCGGCUCAAGGCCACGGAACGAGAGUCCACGAAAUAGGUCCAUGAACUGAAGCCCAUAAGGCGAGAGUCCACGAAACAAGGGUCCAUGGACUUAAGCCCAUGAGGCGAGACUACACGAACCAAGGGUCCAUGGAUCCAAGCUCAUGAACGAGAGUCCACGAAACAAGGGUCCAAGGAUCCAAUCCCAUGAACGAGAGUCCACAAAACAAGGUUCCAUGGACUCAAGCCCAUGAGAAGACUACGUUGUUUGGGCCUCGGUCAAGUCAAAGCUCAUAAAACUCAAGCUUAUUAAUAUUGGGCUGGACUACGAUAUUUGGGCCUUGAUUAAGUCAAAGCCCAUAGAACUCAAGCUUAUUAACGCUGGGCUGGACUACAAUAUUUGGGCCUCGUUCAAGUCAAAGUCCUAAAACUCAGGCCUUUUAAUGCUGGGCUUUACUUCGAUGUUUGGGCCUCGGUCGAGUCAAAGCCCAUACAACUCCAGCUUUUAAUGCUGGGCUGGACUACGAUGUUUGGGCCUAAGCAAGUCAAAGCCCAUAAAAUUCAAGUUUUUCAAUUCUGAGCUGGACUACGAUGUUUGGGCCUCGUUCAAUUCAAAGCCCAUAAAACUCAAGCCUUUUAAUGUUGGGCUGGACUACGUUAUUUGGGCCUCGGUCAAGUCAAAGGCUAUAAAACUCAAGCUUUUUAAAGCUGGGCUGGACUACGAUAUUUGGGCCUCGGUCAAGUUAAAGCCCAUAAAAAUUAUGCUUUUAAUACUGGGCUGGACUAUGUUGUUUGGGCCUCAGUCUAGUCAAAGCCCAUAAAACUUUUUUAUGCUGGGUUGCAGUAAGAUAUUUGGACGCGUUCAAAUCAAAGCCCAUAAAUCUCAAUCUUUUUAAUGCUGGGCUGACUGAGGUUUGGGCCAUUGUCAAGUUAAUCCUUUUAAUUGGUAGGCUGGA